GCAAGUCGAGCGGUAACAGGGGAGCUUGCUCCCGCUGACGAGCGGCGGACGGGUGAGUAACGCGUGGGAAUCUGUCCAUAGGUGGGGGAUAACUUGGGGAAACUCAAGCUAAUACCGCAUAUAACCUGAGGGUAAAAGGGUGCCUCUUCUUGAAAGCACUCGCCAAUGGAUGAGCCCGCGUCGGAUUAGCUAGUUGGUAGGGUAAAGGCCUACCAAGGCGACGAUCCGUAGCUGGUCUUAGAGGAUGAUC
rnacentral:rRNA from 1 species